rnacentral:rRNA from 1 species
UGGGGAAUAUUGCACAAUGGGCGCAAGCCUGAUGCAGCCAUGCCGCGUGUGUGAAGAAGGCCUUCGGGUUGUAAAGCACUUUCAGCGGGGAGGAAGGCGAUAAGGUUAAUAACCUUGUCGAUUGACGUUACCCGCAGAAGAAGCACCGGCUAACUCCGUGCCAGCAGCCGCGGUAAUACGGAGGGUGCAAGCGUUAAUCGGAAUUACUGGGCGUAAAGCGCACGCAGGCGGUCUGUCAAGUAGGAUGUGAAAUCCCCGGGCUCAACCUGGGAACUGCAUUCGAAACUGGCAGGCUAGAGUCUUGUAGAGGGGGGUAGAAUUCCAGGUGUAGCGGUGAAAUGCGUAGAGAUCUGGAGGAAUACCGGUGGCGAAGGCGGCCCCCUGGACAAAGACUGACGCUCAGGUGCGAAAGCGUGGGGAGCAAACAGG